rnacentral:rRNA from 1 species
CUGCCGGCGGUCACCGCUCUUGGAAUCCGACUAAGCCAUGCGAGUCGAGAGGGUUCGGCCCUCGGCGAACUGCUCAGUAACACGUGGAUAACCUACCCUGUAGUGGGGCAUAAUCUCGGGAAACUGAGGAUAAUACCCCAUAGGUCUGGGUGACUGGAAUGUCCCCAGGCUCAAAGCUCAGGCGCUUCAGGAUGGGUCUGCGGCCUAUCAGGUUGUAGUGAGUGUAAAGGACUCACUAGCCGACGACGGGUACGGGCCAUGGGAGUGGUAGCCCGGAGAUGGAUUCUGAGACACGAAUCCAGGCCCUACGGGGCGCAGCAGGCGCGAAAACUUCGCAAUGCGCGCAAGCGCGACGAGGGGAUUCCAAGUGCAUGCACUCAGUGUAUGCUGUUCAACAGUUUAAAACGCUGUUGGAGUGAGGGCUGGGUAAGACUGGUGCCAGCCGCCGCGGUAAUACCAGCGGCCCUAGUGGUGAUCGUUAUUAUUGGGCCUAAAGCGUCCGUAGCCGGCCCGGUAAAUCUCUGGGUAAAUCGUUGGGCUUAACUCAACGAAUUCUGGGGAGACUGCCGGGCUUGGGACCGGGAGAGGUCGGAGGUACUCCAGGGGUAGGGGUGAAAUCCUGUAAUCCUUGGGGGACCACCGGUGGCGAAGGCGUCCGACCAGAACGGGUCCGACGGUAAGGGACGAAGCCCUGGGGCGCGAACCGGAUUAGAUACCCGGGUAGUCCAGGGUGUAAACGCUGUGCGCUUGGUGUUGGGGGUCCUCCGCGGGCACCCAGUGCCGGAGAGAAGUUGUUAAGCGCACCGCCUGGGGAGUACGGUCGCAAGA